rnacentral:sRNA from 1 species
ACCGUUCUCAGUCAAGUGUAUUCGAGUAGCUGCACUCCCCUGCUAGAACCUCCAAACAAGCUCUCAAGAAGGAGAGAGGAACGGGGCCUGC